AGGGAAUCUUGCGCAAUGGGCGAAAGCCUGACGCAGCAACGCCGCGUGCGGGAAGAAGGCUCUCGGGUUGUAAACCGCUUUCAGUAGGAACGAAUUUGACGGUACCUGCAGAAGAAGGUGCGGCCAACUACGUGCCAGCAGCCGCGGUGACACGUAGGCACCAAGCGUUGUCCGGAUUUAUUGGGCGUAAAGAGCUCGUAGGCGGUUCAGUAAGUCGGGUGUGAAAACUCAGGGCUUAACCCUGAGCUGCCACCCGAUACUGCUGUGACUUGAGUCUGGUAGGGGAGUGGGGAAUUCCUGGUGUAGCGGUGAAAUGCGCAGAUAUCAGGAGGAACACCGGUGGCGAAGGCGCCACUCUGGGCCACGACUGACGCUGAGGAGCGAAAGCAUGGGUAGCAAAC
rnacentral:rRNA from 1 species